GGGGAAUAUUGGACAAUGGGGGCAACCCUGAUCCAGCAAUGCCGCGUGUGUGAAGAAGGUCUUCGGAUUGUAAAGCACUUUCGACGGGGACGAUGAUGACGGUACCCGUAGAAGAAGCCCCGGCUAACUUCGUGCCAGCAGCCGCGGUAAUACGAAGGGGGCUAGCGUUGCUCGGAAUGACUGGGCGUAAAGGGCGUGUAGGCGGUUUACACAGUCAGAUGUGAAAUCCCCGGGCUUAACCUGGGAGCUGCAUUUGAUACGUGUAGACUAGAGUGUGAGAGAGGGUUGUGGAAUUCCCAGUGUAGAGGUGAAAUUCGUAGAUAUUGGGAAGAACACCGGUGGCGAAGGCGGCAACCUGGCUCAUUACUGACGCUGAGGCGCGAAAGCGUGGGGAGCAAACA
rnacentral:rRNA from 1 species